GACAGAGGAUGCAAGCGUUAUCCGGAAUGAUUGGGCGUAAAGCGUCUGUAGGUGGCUUUUAAGUCUGCCGUCAAAUCCCAGGGCUUAACCCUGGACAGGCGGUGGAAACUACCAAGCUGGAGUACGGUAGGGGCAGGGGGAAUUCCUGGUGUAGCGGUGAAAUGCGUAGAGAUCAGGAAGAACACCGGUGGCGAAGGCGCUCUGCUAGGCCGCAACUGACACUGAGGGACGAAAGCUAGGGGAGCGAAUGGG
rnacentral:rRNA from 1 species